rnacentral:rRNA from 1 species
GAUGAACGCUAGCGGCAGGCCUAAUACAUGCAAGUCGAGGGGUAGAGAGAGCUUGCUCUCUUGAGACCGGCGCACGGGUGCGUAACGCGUAUGCAACCUACCUCUAUCUGGGGGAUAGCCCGAAGAAAUUCGGAUUAACACCGCAUAAAAUCACAGAACGGCAUCGUUCAAUGAUCAAAUAUUUAUAGGAUGGAGAUGGGCAUGCGUGUCAUUAGUUAGUUGGCGGGGUAACGGCCCACCAAGACCGCGAUGACUAGGGGAUCUGAGAGGAUGGCCCCCCACAAUGGUACUGAGAAACGGACCAGACUCCUAGGGGAGGAAGCAGUAAGGAAUAUUGGUCAAGGGAGGCAACGCUGAACCAGCCAUGCCGCGUGCAGGAAGACAGCCCUCUGGGUCGUAAACUGCUUUUAUUCGGGAAUAAACCUGCUUACGUGUAAGUAGCUGGAUGUACCGAAGGAAUAAGGAUCGGCUAACUCCGUGCCAGCAGCCGCAGUAACAC